rnacentral:rRNA from 1 species
UACGGAGCGUGCAAGCGUUAUCCGGAUUCACUGGGUUUAAAGGGUGCGUAGGUGGGAAUGUAAGUCAGUGGUGAAAUCUCCGUGCUUAACAUGGAAACUGCCAUUGAUACUAUGUUUCUUGAAUCUUCCGGAGGUCAGCGGAAUAUGUCAUGUAGCGGUGAAAUGCUUAGAUAUGACAUAGAACACCAAUUGCGAAGGCAGCUGACUACAGGGGCAUUGACACUGAGGCACGAAAGCGUGGGGAUCAAACAGG